rnacentral:rRNA from 1 species
CCUACGGGAGGCAGCAGUGGGGAAUAUUGGACAAUGGGCGAAAGCCUGAUCCAGCCAUGCCGCGUGUGUGAAGAAGGCCUUCGGGUUGUAAAGCACUUUCAGUGGGGAAGAAAGCCUUGGGGCUAAUACCCUCGAGGAAGGACAUCACCCACAGAAGAAGCACCGGCUAACUCCGUGCCAGCAGCCGCGGUAAUACGGAGGGUGCGAGCGUUAAUCGGAAUUACUGGGCGUAAAGCGCGCGUAGGCGGUCUGAUAAGCCGGUUGUGAAAGCCCCGGGCUCAACCUGGGAACGGCAUCCGGAACUGUCAGGCUAGAGUGUAGGAGAGGAAGGUAGAAUUCCCGGUGUAGCGGUGAAAUGCGUAGAGAUCGGGAGGAAUACCAGUGGCGAAGGCGGCCUUCUGGACUGACACUGACGCUGAGGUGCGAAAGCGUGGGUAGCAAACAGGAUUAGAUACCCGUGUAGUC